rnacentral:rRNA from 1 species
AUACGGAGGGUGCAAGCGUUACUCGGAAUCACUGGGCGUAAAGCGCGCGCAGGCGGCUAUUUAAGUUGGAUGUGAAAGCCUACGGCUCAACCGUAGAACUGCAUCCAAAACUAUUUAGCUAGAGUGUGAGAGAGGAAGAUGGAAUUAGUUGUGUAGGGGUAAAAUCCGUAGAGAUAACUAGGAAUACCAAAAGCGAAGGCAAUCUUCUGGAACACUACUGACGCUGAGGCGCGAAAGCGUGGGGAGCAAACAGAAUUAGAAACCCCAGUAGUCC